rnacentral:rRNA from 1 species
AUAAGCGGAGGAAAAGAAACUAACAGGAUUCCCCUAGUAACUGCGAGUGAAGCGGGAAAAGCUCAAAUUUAAAAUCUGGCGGUCUUUUGGCUGUCCGAGUUGUAAUCUAGAGAAGUGUUAUCCGCGCUGGACCGUGUACAAGUCUCCUGGAAUGGAGCAUCAUAGAGGGUGAGAAUCCCGUCUUUGACAUGGACUACCAGGGCUUUGUGAUGCGCUCUCAAAGAGUCGAGUUGUUUGGGAAUGCAGCUCAAAAUGGGUGGUAAAUUCCAUCUAAAGCUAAAUAUUGGCGAGAGACCGAUAGCGAACAAGUACCGUGAGGGAAAGAUGAAAAGAACUUUGGAAAGAGAGUUAAACAGUACGUGAAAUUGCUGAAAGGGAAACGCUUGAAGUCAGUCGCGUCAUCCAGGGAUCAACCUUGCUUUUGCUUGGUGCACUUUCUGGUUUGAUGGGUCAGCAUCAAUUUUGACCAUUGGAAAAAGGUCAAGGGAAUGUGGCAUCUUUGGAUGUGUUAUAGCCCUUGGUCACAUACAAUGGUUGGGAUUGAGGAACUCAGCACGCCGCAAGGCCGGGUUUUAAACCACGUUCGUGCUUAGGAUGCUGGCAAUAUGGCUUUAAUCGACCCGUCUUGAAACACGGACCAAGGAGUCUAACAUGCCUGCGAGUGUUUGGGUGGAAAACCCGAGCGCGUAAUGAAAGUGAAAGGUUGAGAUCCCUGUCGUGGGGAGCAUCGACGCCCGGACCAGACCUUUUGUGACGGUUCCGCGGUAGAGCAUGUAUGUUGGGACCCGAAAGAUGGUGAACUAUGCCUGAAUAGGGUGAAUCCAGAGGAAACUCUGGUGGAGGCUCGUAGCGAUUCUGACGUGCAAAUCGAUCGUCAAAUUUGGGUAUAGGGGGCGAAAGACUAAUCG